UGGGGAAUAUUGGACAAUGGGCGCAAGCCUGAUCCAGCCAUACCGCGUGGGUGAAGAAGGCCUUCGGGUUGUAAAGCCCUUUUGUUGGGAAAGAAAUCCAGCUGGCUAAUACCCGGUUGGGAUGACGGUACCCAAAGAAUAAGCACCGGCUAAACUUCGUGCCAGCAGCCGCGGUAAUACGAAGGGUGCAAGCGUUACUCGGAAUUACUGGGCGUAAAGCGUGCGUAGGUGGUCGUUUAAGUCCGUUGUGAAAGCCCUGGGCUCAACCUGGGAACUGCAGUGGAUACUGGACGACUAGAGUGUGGUAGAGGGUAGCGGAAUUCCUGGUGUAGCAGUGAAAUGCGUAGAGAUCAGGAGGAACAUCCAUGGCGAAGGCAGCUACCUGGACCAACGACUGA
rnacentral:rRNA from 1 species